UACGUAGGGGGCUAGCGUUGUCCGGAAUCAUUGGGCGUAAAGCGCGUGUAGGCGGCCCGGUAAGUCCGCUGUGAAAGUCGGGGGCUCAACCCUCGGAUGCCGGUGGAUACUGUCGGGCUAGAGUGCGGAAGAGGCGAGUGGAAUUCCUGGUGUAGCGGUGAAAUGCGCAGAUAUCAGGAGGAACACCGGUGGCGAAGGCGGGUCUCUGGGCCGAAAUUGACGCUGAGGAGCGAAAGCGUGGGGAGCAAACAGG
rnacentral:rRNA from 1 species